GUUUUAACUUAUUAACAGCAAACUAACAUUAUUCAUGGUGUCGUUUUUCAUGUCUGGAGUUGGGGCCUUUUUUUUCUGACUGACGGCCGGAUUAACGCCGCCAUAACGGUGAUAACAUCGACUGUCUAGAUUUUGUCUGCAACGUCGGAGGUGUAUUUUGGAGCCUCUUUUUGUGAAUGCCAUAGUGUCGAUGAUAACAUCAACUGUUUGUGAUCUUGUGGUCAUGUCGUCUGCAUCGGAGGAGUAUUGGAGUCUUUUCCUGUGAUUGCCGUCGUAACAGGAGAUUUCUCCAAGCAAAAACAGGAUGCUGAUUAUGAGGACAGAAUCAUCAUACAGCCAGCUGUUCGUUUUACAGAAAUGCAGAAUUAGGUUCAUUCAGAUCUUUGUGGCACCAAAUGCAUUGAAAGUCACAGGUCAGCUGGAAUUCUGGAAAGAGGGUGCCAAGAAAAAGAAUCUGCCUAAAUCCCAUCCUGCUGUUUCUCAUCGGAGAGCUUGUCAACUUUGACUGUCAAAAUUACUGAAAUUUAACACAACAACACAAACUCAUAUUUACUGUAUUAUUUGAUUUUUAUUAACACUACCAGUCAAAAGUUUUUGAACAGUAAGAUUUUUAAUGCUUUUAAAGAAGCCUCUUCUGCUCACCAAGCCUGCAUUUAUUUGAUCCAAAGUACAGCAAAAACAGUACAAUUUUGAAAUAUGUUUUACUAUUUAAAAUAAAUGUUUUCUAUUUGAAUAUAUUUUAAAAUGUAAUUUAUUCCUGUGAUCAAAGCUGAAUUUUUAACAUCAUUACUCCAGUCUUCAGUGUCACAUGAACCUUCAGAAAUCAUUCUAUUAUUCUGAUUUGCUGCUCAAAAAAACUAUUAUUAUUAUUAUUAUGUUGAAAACAGCUGAGUCUAAUUUUUUCAGGUUUCCUUGAUGAAUAGAAAGUUUAGAACAGCAUUUAUCUGAAAUAUAAAUAUUUUGUAACAUUAUGAAUGUCUUUAU